rnacentral:rRNA from 1 species
CUUGCUUAAAUAUAAGAGGUCCAGCCUGCCCAGUGACACAGUUCAACGGCCGCGGUAUCCUAACCGUGCGAAGGUAGCGUAAUCACUUGUUCUUUAAAUGGGGACUAGUAUGAAUGGCAUCACGAGGGUUGAACUGUCUCCUUUCUCUAAUCAGUGAAACUAAUCUCCCCGUGAAGAAGCGGGAAUUAUUUUAUAAGACGAGAAGACCCUAUGGAGCUUAAAACAAAUUGACAUCUGCUUCCACUUACUUCAAUUCCUGAACAAUUACACAAAAUACAGCAUCAUUGAUCAAUAGUUUUAGAUUGGGGUGAUCAUGGAGCAAAAAACAACCUCCACGACGAAAAGGAAUAUCCCCUGAGCCAAAAGCCACAACUUUAAGCACUAAAAAAUUAACGCACCUUGACCCAAUUUUUUGAGCAACGAACCAAGUUACCCUAGGGAUAACAGCGCAAUCCACUUCAAGAGCCCCUAUCGACAAGUGGGCUUACGACCUCGAUGUUGGAUCA